GGGCGGUUAGCUCAGCUGGGAGAGCACUGCCCUUACAAGGCAGGGGUCACUGGUUCGAGCCCAGUACCGCCCACCA
rnacentral:tRNA from 1 species